UACAGAGGUCUCAAGCGUUGUUCGGAUUCAUUGGGCGUAAAGGGUGCGUAGGUGGCGUCGUAAGUCAGGUGUGAAAUUUCGGAGCUUAACUCCGAAACUGCAUUUGAUACUGCGGUGCUUGAGGACUGGAGAGGAGACUGGAAUUUACGGUGUAGCAGUGAAAUGCGUAGAGAUCGUAAGGAAGAACAGUGGCGAAGGCGGGUCUCUGGACAGUUCCUGACACUGAGGCGCGAAAGCUGGGGGAGCAAACGGG
rnacentral:rRNA from 1 species